GAUGAACGCUAGCUACAGGCUUAACACAUGCAAGUCGAGGGGAAACGACAUCGAAAGCUUGCUUUUGGUGGGCGUCGACCGGCGCACGGGUGAGUAACGCGUAUCCAACCUGCCCACCACUUGGGGAUAACCUUGCGAAAGUAAGACUAAUACCCAAUGAUAUCCCACGAAGGCAUCCGAAUGGGAUUAAAGAUUUAUCGGUGAUGGAUGGGGAUGCGUCUGAUUAGCUUGUUGGCGGGGUAACGGCCCACCAAGGCUACGAUCAGUAGGGGUUCUGAGAGGAAGGUCCCCCACAUUGGAACUGAGACACGGUCCAAACUCCUACGGGAGGCAGCAGUGAGGAAUAUUGGUCAAUGGGCGAGAGCCUGAACCAGCCAAGUAGCGUGCAGGAUGACGGCCCUAUGGGGUUGUAAACUGCUUUUUAAUAAGGGGAAUAAAGUUGAGAGUCGUGACUCUUUUUGCAUGUACCUUAUGAAUAAGGACCGGCUAAUUCCGUG
rnacentral:rRNA from 1 species